GUUUUAACAUUGAGUGUAGAGGAGGAUCAACUGCAGUCUGGUUCCCCUUCCUCUCCUCUCCACCAAACUCCAGAGUUCUACUUUUGUCCCGUUAAGAUCCACAGGGCACCAUCAUGGAGGAUAUGGACUUUGAGCGGCGCCGGGAGCUGAGGAGGCAGAAGAGGGAGGAGAUGCGCCUGGAGGCCGAACGCAUGCUGCGGAUCGACGACGACGAGGAGGAGGCUGCCCGAGAGAGGAGGCGCAGGGCGCGUCAGGAGAGGCUGAAAGGCCUGGAGAGCGAGGAGCCCAGCAGCCAGCCAGACAACGCAGUCAUGACCAACAGCCACAGCGUGACAGAAUCCGUCUCCGUGAGCAGCUCCUACGGAGGCGGCGGGGACGACGACGACCAGGCCCUGCAGGAGCGCAUGGCCAAGCGCGAGGAGAGGCGACAGAGGCGCAUGAAGGAGGCGCUGGAGAGGCAGAAGCAGCUGGACCCCACCUCCGCGGACGGCGGCGACGGCGUCAGCCAGGAGAAGAACAGCACAGAGGAGGAGAGAACCUCCUGGCGUACUCGGCGUUACCGUGACACCGUGGAGGAAGAAGAGAAGACUGAAAGCGGCAGCUCGAGGCGGGAGGAAAAGGAGCAAGAGGAACCCAGAGAGGAGGAAGAGGAGCCUGCUCCUGAGGAAGAAGAGGAGGAGGAAGAGGAGGAACAGGAAGUUGAAGUUGAGGAAACCAAACCAAGGAAGUCUAACCUGAGAGAACAGGCGUCAACAGAGGAGACUGUAAUGCAGCACAAGGAUCUCAUUGAAGAAGAAACCCAUUCAGUAGUCAGUGAGGGUUCAAAUCAGGCCAAGUCAGCAAACUCGGAGGCUGAGGAGGAUUCAGUAGCAUCAGGGGAGGCUGAAGAGGUGAGCGAGAGGGAGGAGUCCGAGGAGGAUCAGUGGAAGCACAACGGAGGGCUGCACGACGAGGCGGCUCCCAAGCAGCACAAGAAACCCGAGAGGACCCUGAGCCGUGGCAGCGUCCGCUCCCCCGAGGCGUCCGCCGGCGACGAGCAGGACGACGACGCCCGCCUGGAGGCAGAGCGCAAGCUGGAGGAGCUGAAGCGCCGGCGCGACGACGCCGAGAGCGAGGAGUUCGAGAGGAUGAGGCAGAAGCAGCAGGAGGCCGAAGCCGAGCUGGAGGAGCUGAAGAGGAAGCGGGAGGAGAGGAGGAAGGUGCUGGAGGAGGAGGAGAGGCAGCGGAAGCAGGAAGAGGCGGAACGGAGAGCCAGAGAGGAGGAGGAGAAGAGGAAGAUGAAAGAGGAGAUUGAAAGGAGACGGGCCGAGGCUGCCGAGAAGAGACAGAAAGGGGACGACACCAUGGAUGGGGAGGGGAAACCAUUCAAGUGUGUCAGUCCUCGUGGCUCUUCUCUGAAGAUUGAAGAAAGAGCAGAAUUCCUGAACAAGUCGGCACAGAAAAGCUCUGUGAAGGCGUCUCAUUCUCCUGUGGUGUCCAAGAUAGACAACAGGCUGGAGCAGUACACCUCCGCUGCUCAGCGAGAGAUCAAGGAAUCCAGAUCCCCUCGCUCCACCGUGUUGGAUCUUCCCAUGGUCACCGACGUACGAAACAUUAAGAGCAUGUGGGAGAAAGGCAAUGUGUUCAGCUCGCCCGGAGGCGGUGGAAGCACCUUUAAGGAAGCAGCUGUGAUAAAGACGGGCGUGGCAGGCCGCAUCAACGACUGGCUGAAUAAAACCCCAGAGAGCGGCAAGACGUCAGGAGGAAGGCCAACGGACCUGAAACCCGUUGACGUGACCAACAAGAGGAGUCUAUGGGAAAACAAAGGCGCCACUCCGACAAAGAACUCUCACAGCUAGUUGACCUCGGCAGUCAAUCUGGAAUAAUCCUGGAGAGAUGGUAGGCAGAGGAGAGACCAAAUCAGUCGCUAACGGUAUGGGACACUAAUGUCUGAAAGGAGCCACUAAAGCUGGGGACCACGACAAUCCAAGAUUCUGCCUUUUGAACAUUUUUUUUUUUUCUAAGAACCAAAAAAAAAAAACGGCCAGCUCCCUAUGAGGAAUGACCCAGAGACCACAAAGACGCUGUCCUCGCACUGUACUGAAACAUCACCUGCAUUUCUGCCAAGUUUAGUACUUUUGCACAAUGGGUUAAGCUUUGAUAAUAACACGCGCAAAAAAAUAAACUGUGCUGUGAAAUUUGGACAUUUUAGACCCUAACAAUUCCCAGUCAGGACAACUAAUUUAGAUUUUUUAUUUUAUUUUAUUUACUUCAGUGGACCACGUUUUAAGUUCCCACAUUCCAAAGAGACGAGUGAAACGGGCUCUCUCCCUCUUACGGAUGACAUUCCAUCUCCCUUCUUUAUUUUUUUUUAUUUAUAUUUAAAGAGACAGCUUCACACAUCGCUAUUUUAUACUCAGCAGCCACCUGUUCAGGAUAGAAAUGUAAGCACUUCUAGAUUUUAGCUGAUUUCACUUGUAUUAUGUCUUAACAAUAGCAGAGCAAAGGUCUGAGUAAUAUAAGUUAGCACAUGUGACAUUUUGAGUAUCAUCGUAUCAUGUAUAACAUCUCUAUGCUCAUAGGUUAUUUUUUGCUCCUUUUUUUUUUAUUUAGUAUCAAACUCUUCACCAACAGAUGGUUAAUUUUGAAGGUGAAAGGAAUGCUGACUAUUCAGAAGGCCAUAUGACUUUUUAUUAUUAUUAUUAUCCUUUUAUGUCAUUUUUAUUUAAAUUUCAGUGUGGUUUAUCUUAUCUAGCUGGGUUUUUUUUAGGCUUUUGUUGAUCACUUUAUACAGUUCUGGGUAAAAGUGUUUUCCUCCUUACAAAUUUGUUCUGUUUUUGUACUGUUGUCGCACUUAAAUGUUUCAGAUGAAACUUUAAUAUCAAACACAACCUAAGUAAACGUGUUAGUUCCAUAAUCAACUGUGUGAAAUCAUAAAAUCACCUAAAAAGAACCUGUCUGACCACCUGAAGUAGGCUGAAAGAUCAAAAUCUUAAACAAAACAAAAACUGAUCAAAGGAAAUUCAAGAACGGAUUAGUAACCAACCCUGAACGACUCAAAGAAAACAAGAUGGAGAAUUUUAGGAUGAACGUCGGGACCUCUUUGACCUCAAAUCGGAGAUACUCAACAUGUUGAAUUGUCUUGCCGCGAUAUCCUAGCGUGUGUGGUGUCCCCCGAGGACAAGCGAGCAGGGAGCCUGUUGAAUGUGACGUGUAGCCAAUCAGAAAGCGAGGUGAGGGAAACCCGGAGGGGAAAAAACACCCAGCUCACCUCCAUAUCGUAGUGCAGCAAGCGUAGAGCCCCCCGUUCGCCCUGUCUCCACUUCUUUAACCAGCGCCUUUUGAAAAAUAAAAAUUAUCCGUUAAAAUCAUUCCACAAACUAUCAGUGUUGUUUUUCUUUGUCGUCCAUAUUUGUUUACUCUGAACUCUCAUUUGAUCUUGAGAGGUUUUGUGAGAUUUCUCGUCUGAAAUCUGAACGAUUCCGAGUGAAAUCUGUUGGUGUGUAUUAACCUGAUAUACCAACGAUUUUUUUAUCGUUAACCAGGGAUGUCUCUUGGGCUUCGAAAAUCAGCCAACUAUUUUAAAAUCCUACCUUGUGAACCAGCCUUUAAACUGUGAUUUUAUUUUUUGUUUUUAGGGAGGAAAAACUAUUCGAACCAAACUAACCAGCUAAACGCUUGUUUGUGGAUGAAUUUUGCUGUUUUGUUGAACAUUGCACACCAGCAAGUCCACAUCUGAUUGGCUCAAAUACAUAAAAUGGAGGUUUUGGAGUGGGUUAGUUAAUGUGAGUUGCUGUGACAUGACUUUAAACUGGUCGUUCAUGCUUGAAAACCUUCCAGGGUAGGUGUAUUAAACCAAUUCUGCAAAGAAGAGUGGGCCAAAACUCCCUUCACUGUGAUGUUACUGGUUAUAGCAAAUAGGCUUAGGGGAUAGUUAGUUUUUCCACUCAGGACUACGUAUGUUUGUUAAAAACAAUGUUUUAAAAACAUUUUUGCUUGGGUUUAUCUUUUGAUAUUAGAAUUAGUUGCAUUUAAAACAUUAAAGUGUGACAGAAUAAAUCUUUAUGGGGGCAAAUGCUUUAUCACAGCACUGUUAAAAAAAAAUAUCUUCCUACAUUCCUCUUUGAAUGCUCGUGGUGCCUUCGCUGCUUGAAGCUGUGCUAUGUACGGAAAAUGUGCAAAAAUAGACCUUUUUUUUAAUAUUCUGCCUUUUACAGUAAUCUAUUUAAUGCCUCUUAUGCUCAAGCAUUUCAAGUUUGGGGCAUGCAAUGUAAAGGUCCGGCUGCCCACGCAUGUAACGAGUUAGCAGUUUAAGGAUAUUUACCACUAUGUAAAACCUCUCGCCUUACGAUUGCAAUGAGAAAGAUUCCAACAAGCUGAGAGACAGGAGACGAAACGAUUCCAACAAAGAUUCUGUGAUCCUUUAUUUUUCUCUGACAUGUUUUGAAGUUGCUCAUAUCGUUGGCGCAGCGCAAGCUUUGAUUAGUACAUGAACGGUUUGUCAGGGCAUUAAAUUGGUUAAUGUUACUGCUCAACAGUCUGACAAUCACAUUCCUUUGGCUCCUGAAAAGAGCGGGGGAGCGCGACCAAAUUGUUUUUUAAAGAGUGAAUUAAUGUGACAUUUAUGUUUUUUUUUUUUUUUUUAAUAUACAGUGGUUUUAUUGUGCUGUAUUUUUUUUUUUUUUUUUUACAACCUUGUGUCCAUUUUUGAUGUUUUUUAUGCUUUUCUUUUUCAAUUUUUAACCAGGCACUUGUUUGUGUAGCGCCAAGCCUAUGCAACACACACACAUCUGUACUUGUAUCCUACUCUGUAUCUCAAUGUCAUAAACAUGGAUGUAUGUUUGUAGCAUUGUACCAUGAACUCAACUGCAACAAUAAAGACAUUGAGGUAUUUCA